GACAGAGGUGCCGAGCGUUAGGCGGAAUCACUGGGCUUAAAGCGUGUGUAGGCGGAUUCCUAAGUACCUUGUGAAAUCCCACGACUUAACCGUGGAACUGCUUGGUAUACUGGGUGUCUUGAGCCAACUAGGGGCAGUCGGAACGAAACGGUGGAGCGGUGAAAUGCGUAGAUAUCGUUUGGAACGCCAAUGGUGAAAACAGACUGCUGGGGUUGUGCUGACGCUGAGACACGAAAGCCAGGGAGCGAACGGG
rnacentral:rRNA from 1 species